rnacentral:rRNA from 2 species
GAAACUGCUCAGGACGAACGCUGGCGGCGUGCCUAAUACAUGCAAGUCGAACGAACUCUGGUAUUGAUUGGUGCUUGCAUCAUGAUUUACAUUUGAGUGAGUGGCGAACUGGUGAGUAACACGUGGGAAACCUGCCCAGAAGCGGGGGAUAACACCUGGAAACAGAUGCUAAUACCGCAUAACAACUUGGACCGCAUGGUCCGAGUUUGAAAGAUGGCUUCGGCUAUCACUUUUGGAUGGUCCCGCGGCGUAUUAGCUAGAUGGUGGGGUAACGGCUCACCAUGGCAAUGAUACGUAGCCGACCUGAGAGGGUAAUCGGCCACAUUGGGACUGAGACACGGCCCAAACUCCUACGGGAGGCAGCAGUAGGGAAUCUUCCACAAUGGACGAAAGUCUGAUGGAGCAACGCCGCGUGAGUGAAGAAGGGUUUCGGCUCGUAAAACUCUGUUGUUAAAGAAGAACAUAUCUGAGAGUAACUGUUCAGGUAUUGACGGUAUUUAACCAGAAAGCCACGGCUAACUACGUGCCAGCAGCCGCGGUAAUACGUAGGUGGCAAGCGUUGUCCGGAUUUAUUGGGCGUAAAGCGAGCGCAGGCGGUUUUUUAAGUCUGAUGUGAAAGCCUUCGGCUCAACCGAAGAAGUGCAUCGGAAACUGGGAAACUUGAGUGCAGAAGAGGACAGUGGAACUCCAUGUGUAGCGGUGAAAUGCGUAGAUAUAUGGAAGAACACCAGUGGCGAAGGCGGCUGUCUGGUCUGUAACUGACGCUGAGGCUCGAAAGUAUGGGUAGCAAACAGGAUUAGAUACCCUGGUAGUCCAUACCGUAAACGAUGAAUGCUAAGUGUUGGAGGGUUUCCGCCCUUCAGUGCUGCAGCUAACGCAUUAAGCAUUCCGCCUGGGGAGUACGGCCGCAAGGCUGAAACUCAAAGGAAUUGACGGGGGCCCGCACAAGCGGUGGAGCAUGUGGUUUAAUUCGAAGCUACGCGAAGAACCUUACCAGGUCUUGACAUACUAUGCAAAUCUAAGAGAUUAGACGUUCCCUUCGGGGACAUGGAUACAGGUGGUGCAUGGUUGUCGUCAGCUCGUGUCGUGAGAUGUUGGGUUAAGUCCCGCAACGAGCGCAACCCUUAUUAUCAGUUGCCAGCAUUAAGUUGGGCACUCUGGUGAGACUGCCGGUGACAAACCGGAGGAAGGUGGGGAUGACGUCAAAUCAUCAUGCCCCUUAUGACCUGGGCUACACACGUGCUACAAUGGAUGGUACAACGAGUUGCGAACUCGCGAGAGUAAGCUAAUCUCUUAAAGCCAUUCUCAGUUCGGAUUGUAGGCUGCAACUCGCCUACAUGAAGUCGGAAUCGCUAGUAAUCGCGGAUCAGCAUGCCGCGGUGAAUACGUUCCCGGGCCUUGUACACACCGCCCGUCACACCAUGAGAGUUUGUAACACCCAAAGUCGGUGGGGUAACCUUUUAGGAACCAGCCGCCUAAGGUGGGACAGAUGAUUAGGGUGAAGUCGUAACAAGGUAACCCGUAA